rnacentral:rRNA from 1 species
GACGAACGCUGGCGGCGUGCUUAACACAUGCAAGUCGAACGGAAAGACCCUGCUUUUGUGGGGCGCUCGAGUGGCGAACGGGUGAGUAACACGUGAGUAACCUGCCCUUGACUUUGGGAUAACUUCAGGAAACUGGGGCUAAUACCGGAUAGGAGCUCCUGCUGCAUGGUGUGGGUUGGAAAGUUUCGGCGGUUGGGGAUGGACUCGCGGCUUAUCAGCUUGUUGGUGGGGUAGUGGCUUACCAAGGCUUUGACGGGUAGCCUGCCUGAGAGGGUGAACGGGCACAUUGGGACUGAGAUACGGACCAGACUGCUACGGGAGGCAGCAGUGGGGAGUAUUGCACAAUGGGCGGAAGCCUGAUGCAGCAACGCCGCGUGCGGGAUGACGGCCUUCGGGUUGUAAACCGCUUUGGCCUGUGACGAAGAGUGAGUGACGGUAAUGGGUAAAGAAGCAACGGCUAACUACGUG